CGCACGGGUGAGUAACACGUGAAUAAUCUACCUUCGAGUGGGGAAUAACUGAGAGAAAUCUUAGCUAAUACCGCAUAAUACCCACGGGUCAAAGCAGCAAUGCGCUUGAAGAGGAGUUCGCGGCAGAUUAGUUAGUUGGCAGGGUAAUGGCCUACCAAGACGAUGAUCUGUAUCCGGCCUGAGAGGGCGCACGGACACACUGGAACUGAAACACGGUCCAG
rnacentral:rRNA from 1 species